GGCGUGCUUAACACAUGCAAGUCGAACGGUGAACACGGAGCUUGCUCUGUGGGAUCAGUGGCGAACGGGUGAGUAACACGUGAGCAACCUGCCCCUGACUCUGGGAUAAGCGCUGGAAACGGCGUCUAAUACUGGAUAUGUGACGUGACCGCAUGGUCUGCGUUUGGAAAGAUUUUUCGGUUGGGGAGGGGCUCGCGGCCUAUCAGCUUGUUGGUGAGGUAAUGGCUCACCAAGGCGUCGACGGGUAGCCGGCCUGAGAGGGUGACCGGCCACACUGGGACUGAGACACGGCCCAGACUCCUACGGGAGGCAGCAGUGGGGAAUAUUGCACAAUGGGCGAAAGCCUGAUGCAGCAACGCCGCGUGAGGGAUGACGGCCUUCGGGUUGUAAACCUCUUUUAGCAGGGAAGAAGCGAAAGUGACGGUACCUGCAGAAAAAGCGCCGGCUAACUACGUGCCAGCAGCCGCGGUAAUACGUAGGGCGCAAGCGUUAUCCGGAAUUAUUGGGCGUAAAGAGCUCGUAGGCGGUUUGUCGCGUCUGCUGUGAAAUCCCGAGGCUCAACCUCGGGCCUGCAGUGGGUACGGGCAGACUAGAGUGCGGUAGGGGAGAUUGGAAUUCCUGGUGUAGCGGUGGAAUGCGCAGAUAUCAGGAGGAACACCGAUGGCGAAGGCAGAUCUCUGGGCCGUAACUGACGCUGAGGAGCGAAAGGGUGGGGAGCAAACAGGCUUAGAUACCCUGGUAGUCCACCCCGUAAACGUUGGGAACUAGUUGUGGGGUCCAUUCCACGGAUUCCGUGACGC
rnacentral:rRNA from 1 species